UACGUAGGGCGCAAGCGUUUAUCCGGAAUUAUUGGGCGUAAAGAGCUCGUAGGCGGUUUGUCGCGUCUGCCGUGAAAGUCCGGGGCUCAACUCCGGAUCUGCGGUGGGUACGGGCAGACUAGAGUGAUGUAGGGGAGACUGGAAUUCCUGGUGUAGCGGUGAAAUGCGCAGAUAUCAGGAGGAACACCGAUGGCGAAGGCAGGUCUCUGGGCCACUACUGACGUGAGAAGCGAAAGCAUGGGGAGCGAACAGG
rnacentral:rRNA from 1 species